rnacentral:snRNA from 1 species
AUACUUACCUGGCAGGGGAGAUACCAUGAUCACGAAGGUGAUUUUCCCAGGGCGAAGCUAAUCCAUUGCACUCCGGAUGGGCUGACCCCUGCAAUUUCUACACACAC